AUAUGCUUGUUCCAAAGAUUAAGCCAUGCAUGCGUUAGAUUAAAAGUAGCUUGAACUCAAUCUGCGAAAGGCUCCGUAUAUCUGUUGAAACCUUAGGCGGAAAAGCUGGAGAUGGAAUCGGAUUGGAUCGGCAACGGACAACCGAGGAAAUCCUUUGGCUAAUACGCUAUACAAAAAACUUGAACACAGAAGGUGUCUGCACAGAAAGGCCCCUUCUAAGCAAUUGGGGGGAGUAUUAACACACUUCUUGUGGGUCGUGGGGGGAGGCGCGUUGAGGGCAGAGUGCCGUUCUCGAAACCUUGUCUGGAGACAGGGGAGUACAGGGUGGUCAGCAUUUUUGGCUUUUAGCUCCCUUAAACAAGGGGCGGCCGGGGGUGCCUGCCUCCACGUGGAAAGAACCUGCGAGUACCUCACUGGGGGCCUGGAGGUCAACAGCAUCUGGCGUGUUCUUCAGACCUAUCAACUACAUGCAUGGGGCACGGCCCCACAUGGUUUCAACAGGUACAGAGGAUCAGGGUUCGGUCCUGGAGAGGUAGCCUAAGAGAUCGCUACUACUUCUAAGGAAGGCAGCAGGCGCGCAACGUUCCCCAUGGGGAAACCCUGAGGACGUGAAGGAACAUAGCAAUACCGAGCCCUUAAAAGCCCGGUAAUUGAAAUGGGGGAGAUACAAAUCACCCACCGAGUAACAAUUGGAGGACAAGUCUGGUGCCAGCACCCGCGGUAAUUCCAGCUCCAAUAGCAUCUCAUUAAGUUGUUGCAGUUAAAACGCUCGUAGUCGGAGUAGGCGAGCCCCUGCAGCUAGCAGUGCUCUCAGAAAACAGCUUGGCACAGCCAAGCCUGAACUUGAAGUCUGCCCCAGAACGACCUUGCCUUGAUCCCCGGACCUGAUACCGACCCCAGUAAUGGGCGAGGGGUAAGCGAAGGGGGGAUGGGACCGUGGGGAAGGGAAAGGGGUCGACGAUAGGAAGUAGGCGACAGCCCCCUCGCUCGUGAGUAUGUUGGGUGCCGUGUUGUGGGGGUUUGCCGACAGCUUUGGGUCGAUGGUAGGUUGGGACUUAAGUGGCCCUCUCUAUCUCCCCGGGGCAUUUUACUUUGAAUAAAUUAGAGCGCUCAACGCGGGUCAUCUAUAGGACCUUUAGCGUUAUCUUAUAUAACCCUUGUACACUUCAGCAAAGAAUAAUACAGUACGCCGUCUACGGCAAACUGUGUUGGUCGUAGUCAAGGGAAUGAUUAAUUGGGGGGAUCGGGGCCAGCCACAUGGCAGGGGUAGGGGUGAAAUCCGUUGAUCCUUGCCAGGUGAACAAACGCGAAAGCAGCUGGCUAGUACCCUUUCUUUGAUCAAGAACGAAAGUAUGAGGAUCGAAGAUGAUCAGAUACCAUCGUAGUUCAUACUAUAAAUGAUGCCGGCCGCGGAUGGGUUUCCCGUCCAUCCUGACAGAGCCUGCACUCUGUGAGAAAUCACCAGCGUUUGGGCUCCGGGGGGAGUAUGGUCGCAAGACUGAAACUUAAAGGAAUUGACGGAAGAGCACACAAGGAGUGGAGCCUGCGGCUUAAUUUGACUCAACACGGGGAAACUCACUAGGGCAGGAGGGGGGUAUGACGGACGGCUGAGCAGGGCCUUCUCGAUUCCCCCAGUGGUGGUGCAUGGUCGUUCUUAGUUCGUGGAUUGAUUUGUCUGGUCUAUUCCGCUAACGAGCGAGAACCCGCCCUCCCGAGGUUAGGCAGCUGGGCAUGCCAGGGCUGCUUCGGCGGCCCAGGCUGAAAACGCCUGGGGGCUCGGUCUAGGGGGAGCGCCUCCGAGAAGGAGGCGGCAGCGGGUCAAUAACAGGUCAGUGAUGCCCUUAGAUGCUCUAGGCCGCACGCGCGCUACAAUGGGGCGGUCGGCGGGUUCCUGUGCCGACAAGGCGGCGGGGAAUCCGGCUAACUCGCCUCGUAUCCGGGCCAGUGCCGUGCAACACGGCCCUCAAACAAGGAAUUUCUAGUAGUCACGGGUCACCAGCCCCUGACGAUUC
rnacentral:rRNA from 1 species